rnacentral:rRNA from 1 species
UACGGAGGGGACUAACGUUGUUCGGAAUUACUGGGCGUAAAGCGCACGUAGGCGGAUUUGUUAGUCAGGGGUGAAAUCCCGGGGCUCAACCUCGGAACUGCCUUUGAUACUGCGAGCCUAGAGUCCGGAAGAGGUGGGUGGAAUUCCUAGUGUAGAGGUGAAAUUCGUAGAUAUUAGGAAGAACACCGUGGCGAAGGCGGCCCACUGGUCCGGUACUGACCGGCUGGAGGU